UGGGGAAUAUUGCACAAUGGGCGCAAGCCUGAUGCAGCCAUGCCGCGUGUAUGAAGAAGGCCUUCGGGUUGUAAAGUACUUUCAGCGGGGAGGAAGGCGAUAAGGUUAAUAACCUUGUCGAUUGACGUUACCCGCAGAAGAAGCACCGGCUAACUCCGUGCCAGCAGCCGCGGUAAUACGGAGGGUGCAAGCGUUAAUCGGAAUUACUGGGCGUAAAGCGCACGCAGGCGGUCUGUCAAGUCGGAUGUGAAAUCCCCGGGCUCAACCUGGGAACUGCAUUCGAAACUGGCAGGCUAGAGUCUUGUAGAGGGGGGUAGAAUUCCAGGUGUAGCGGUGAAAUGCGUAGAGAUCUGGAGGAAUACCGGUGGCGAAGGCGGCCCCCUGGACAAAGACUGACGCUCAGGUGCGAAAGCGUGAGGAGCAAACA
rnacentral:rRNA from 1 species